rnacentral:rRNA from 1 species
GACGAACGCUGGCGGCGCGCCUAACACAUGCAAGUCGAACGAGUGAGAGAGAGCUUGCUUUCUCGAGCGAGUGGCGAACGGGUGAGUAACGCGUGAGGAACCUGCCUCAAAGAGGGGGACAACAGUUGGAAACGACUGCUAAUACCGCAUAAGCCCACAGCUCGGCAUCGAGCAGAGGGAAAAGGAGCAAUCCGCUUUGAGAUGGCCUCGCGUCCGAUUAGCUGGUUGGUGAGGUAACGGCCCACCAAGGCGACGAUCGGUAGCCGGACUGAGAGGUUGAACGGCCACAUUGGGACUGAGACACGGCCCAGACUCCUACGGGAGGCAGCAGUGGGGAAUAUUGGGCAAUGGGCGCAAGCCUGACCCAGCAACGCCGCGUGAAGGAAGAAGGCUUUCGGGUUGUAAACUUCUUUCUUAGGGACGAAGCAAGUGACGGUACCUGAGUAAGAAGCUCCGGCUAAAUACGUG